AACACGGGGCGCAAACUCACGAAAAAUGAGAUCAUGACCUGAGCCGAAAUCGGACGCUCAAUCGACUGAGCCACCCAGGCGCCCCUAUUGGUUGGUUUGUGUUUUUAAAUAAAAUUGAUGAAAGUUUGUUGGUCACAAUCUUUUUAGGUGAAAUACUGAGAGAUGAAAAGGACUGUUUCUUCCUGGAGAAAUGCAGAUCGUUUAGAUAUUAAUGAAAGUUCUGCAUUCACCUGCUGAAUGAGAGCUUUCACAUAUUUUGGUACUUUUUGCAUAUUUUUGCAAAGAAAGAAAUAUGACCCCCUAAUUAAAAGCUGCUGUAAUCAUUUUAAGAGAUGAAACACAGAGAUCUUAACUAUAUUACAAUAAAGUAUCUACAGAUUAGAAGCCUUGUCAUUCCACUAGAAGUAAAGGAAGUAAUUUCAUAAAGCUACUAGCCUAACAAAUAUUGAAAAUACUCAGAUUUGUUAGUAAAUGUCCUGUAUGAUUACUUUGUGUCAGGCAUUCCUGGGUGAAUGGCAGAAGGUAUACUUACAUGGACAAUUUCAUAAGUGAUUUCAAAUCAAUAUAUAAUCUAGGUCCCUUUCUCUUCUUAAAUAUCCUGUUCCCCAAAUCCAUCUAUCCACUUUUAUCUCUAGCAGCUACGAUUUGCUAUUUACAUAAAGAGACAGUUUAGAUUUGGCUGCUUCACCUUAUGAUUUAUUUUUACUCCAGUCAUUUUGUAAGAAUAUCUUAAAAUAAGCAAAGAUUUUGAGCCAAGGAUAUUGACAGAUUUAAUUAGCUUUGAUUAUUGCAAGUCCCCCAAAAAAUAAUAAUUGGCCAGUCCUGGCCAAUGACUAAGCACGGCAGGAGCUUUACUGAGCAGUGAAACACAACUGACUGAGCAAUGCAGCUUCAUUGUAGAAAUAUUUGGGACUCCUCUAAUGGGUAGCUUUGGCUUGAGGAUCAUCCAUCAGCCUACCUGAAACCCUCAGAACUGUGCUGCUGUCUGAGAUAAUGCCUACUCAUCCUUUCUUUUCCCUCUCCUUCAUAACUCAGAAUGUGACUGUAUUUGGAUGUAGGUCCUUUAUAAAGGCAAUUAAGAUGUUAGGGUGAACCCUAAUCCAAUCUGACUAGUGUCCUUGUAAGGAGGAAUUUGAACACCCAGAAAGACGCUGAGGGCAUGUGUGCGGAGGAAGGGCAUGUGAGGAUACAGCAAGAAGGUGGCCAUCUACAAUCCAAGGGAGAUGCCUCAGAAGAAACCAAUUCUGCUGAUAUCUUGAUCUUCGACUUCUACACUCCACAACUGUGAGAAAUACAUUUCUGUUGUUUAUGCUAUCCAGUCUGCGGUACUGUAUUUUGUAAUGGCGGCCCUAACUAUGCCAAAUACCACCUUGGCAGCUGCUCAGAGGGUCCAAACUAACACAAGUGGUACCAAGAGAGGUCCAAAAACAAAAAACAGAAACAAAAGAAAGCUAGAAAAUAAAAUGAAGUUUCAGGAAUGGCUCACUCACUAUCUGGUGGGCAAAGACAAUAUUAUCGUGAGUAGUAUACGGACAUGGAUAGUUCCCAGCACAAGGUGGUGACCAGGCACUAAAGAUUUCAUCAGUGGUGACCUGGGAAAACAUCCCAGUGGAGGAGAAGGAAAAGAAUAUAAUUUCAGGCAUUUGAAAUGUAUGGGGGUCGGGGAGGGCAAUGCCUACAAGGACAAUGGAGUUGGCCGGUUACUGCUAAGUUGUAUAGACACUCAGGCGGGAUAACGAAAAAGCAAAGGUCCCCCUUGAUUAAUAGCCAAGUAUGAGAGACAAGAGGACCUCUUUAGUAACUUACAAAAAGGCUUUUAUCUCUAUAGUGGAAGACCUGACACAGUUAUGCCACAAACUUGGAACAUGAUAGAGGCACAGAGCCCCAAAGACAUUUAAAUAUGUAGCCAAAGCUGGUCAGGGCCCUGGCUGAAAAUGCCUGAAUGCCUGAAACAAGGGAUGGGACAUCUGGAUGCACAACUGUAAGGAUCUUAGCUCUGUAGGCCCUCAUGAACUUUGAAAGCUUGCAGAGAUAGUCUACCUCUUCGUAAUAAGAACUAGUACUUCCUCCAUGCUCAAAGACACUGCAGAGCCACUCCUUCUCUACUGGCUACUAUGCUAAUAAAUGGAAUCAAAUCCUAGCAUAACCAAGCUGAAAACAUGCCUGACCUAAUAAAGGAGGAAAGAGAUCCUAUACAAAGGAUCUGUAAAAGUUAGCAUAUACAAACAAGUCAGAGGAGUUUUGAGGUUGCUUGAUCAUGGAGGCUGCAAUAUUAGACUAGAUAAUCAAGAAUUCAUUGACAGCACUUUCUUCUCGGGAUUUAACACUGCAUGGACUCUUAGGGAGGAUGUAACAAACUUAUGGGAGGGAUGGGCGGGGGAAUCUCUUAGAAACCUAGAGAGAGUGAUGGCCAAUGCUGAGCAAAGUAGAAAUGUCUCAGUUGCCCGGGCGCAUGGUAGAAGAAUGAAUUAAAAGACUGGGGGAAGUGGGCAUGCUGGAAUGGAUAUGUGUGAAGCCAGAAGACCCAUCAGAGGAUUCUGUUUCACAGGAGGGCCCAGAAGAUACACCAUUCACCAAGGCCAUCAGAAAUCCUCUGGUAAGGGACACCACCACCAAGAAGUUCUCUGCGUUCCUGAGCUAACAACAGCAGUCACAGAGUUAGGACCCAUUAAUGAUUAUGGGAAAAAUAUUCCCCUUCCCCAAGUAAUAGAGGCCAGAUAGUGGCACUUAGUCACUAGAAGCCAGGAGGCCACAAUUAAAAAGACCAACAACAUUUGACAAGUGGCAGUCAAGAGGGCUUGACUCACAGGGAAUUGUGGAGAUGGAUGUAGAGCUUGGUAUCUCUAGGGGCAAAAUAGGUGGGAAUCCUAUUAACAUCUACAACCCAAAAAAGGCCAAAACGGAGGAGCAGGAGACUGAGGGUGGUUUCAUCCAGAAAGUCAUCGUCCCUUGUUCAGUAUCCCGAUCUGAGCCACUUUUCAGAUCUGAAACUUGUUGACUUAAGAGGCGGCAGAUCCUGCGGCACUGCAACAAAUCCUUUAGGCUUGGACUGAAACAUCAGCUCUUCUUGGAUCUCGAACCCGCCAACUUUCAGACUGGAAAUCACGCCAUUGGCUUUCCUUGUUCUCAGGCCGUUGGCUUCAGACUGGGAACUACACAUCAGCUCUCCUGGGUCUCCAGCUUGAUGACUGCAGAUCUUGGGACUUCUUGGCCUCCAUACUCAUAUCCCUGGCUAAUACAGAUCUUGACACCAGCCGUGGAAUGUAGCUGUAACAAAUAACUAAAAAUAUGGAAGCUGCUUUGGAACUGGAUAAUGAGUGGAGUUGGAAAAGUUUUAAAGUGCAUGCUACAAAUAUGGACAUUAAGGACAAUUCUGGUGAGACGUCAGAUGGAAAUGAGGAGGAUGUUAAUGGAAAUUGUGGGAAAAGUGACCCUCGUUAUAAAGUGGUGAAUAACUUGGCUGAACUGUGUUCUGUUUUGUACAAGGUAGAAUUUGUGAGUGAUGAAAUUGGAUAUUUAGCUGAGGAGAUUUCUAAGCAAAGUAUCGAAGGAGGGGCUUGGUUCCUCCUGAUUGCUUAUAGUAAAAUGUGAAAGGAGAGAGAUGAAGAAGGAAUUGUUAAGCAAAAAGGAACCAGAACUUGAUGAUUUAGAGAUUUCUCAGCCUAUCCGUAUUGAAAAACAUGAGAAAGCAUGUUCUAAAGAAAAUACCAAUGGCACAACUUGAUUAUCACUUGAUAAAGAGUUUAUGGGAUUAUAUGAGCAGAAAUGCAGCCAAUUUGAACUGAAGGGGAUGAAGAUGGGACCAAACAAAGGAAGGCUGUUGGGCUUAUUGAAUUUGACAAGACAGAAUGAUAGAGCUAUUCAGCUGCACACAUGCACUAUUCUGCAAGAAGAGCGGAAAAUGAUGCCGACAGUGAUUAAGAGAUCAUCAGGGCCACUACACUACCUCAGUUUCAACAGCCUUUGGUGGGGGACUACCCAACAGGACCUUGGGGGUGAUGCUGCCACCUACUGGACCUGGAGGACAGAGCAUUGAACCAAGGAGGAUUACUUUAAAGCCUUAAAAUCUGAUGGACUUUGCCUUGCUAAAUUUUGAGCUUGCUUGGGACCAUCACCCCUUUCUUCUCCCUUUUGUAAUGAGAAUGUCUAUCCUAUUACUAUCCCACUAUUGUAUUUUGAAAGUAUAUAACUUGUCUGAUUUCACAGAUUCACAGCUGGAGAGGAAUUUUGCCUCAGGAUGAAUCAUACCUCCAGUCUCACUCUAUCUGAUUUAGAUGAUAUUCAAAUGAGACUUUAGAUGCUGGAAUAAAUUAAGAGCUUUGGAGAUUUGGGGAUGAAAUGAAUGUAUUUUGUGUGCAAUAAUGAUGUGAAUUUUAGGGGGCCACAGGUGGAAUGUUAUAGACUGAAUGUGUCCCCCUCCAAAUUCAUACAUUGAAGCCCUAAUCCCCAAUAUGAUGACAAAGAGGCACCAGAGAGCUCUCUUUCUCUGCCCUGUAAGGAUACAGUGAGAAGGUAGCUGUCUGCAAGUCAGGAAGAGAGCUUUCACCAGAUCCUGAUUAUGCUGGCAUCUUGAUCUCGGACUUCUGGCCUCUAGAACUGUGAGAAAAUAAAUUUCUGUUGUUUAAGCCA